CUUCCACAAAGAAACCCACACAAAAAUGUUUAGCGAAGCACUUCUCAGGUAGGAAUUACUCAAGUUAUAUAAGGCAAGUUCUUCCCUGGUAAAACGAACCGGGAGGAAGCAUUAGGUAGACGCCUCACUUUGGAGAGCAAGACCAGAGAGCAGUUUUACUUACUAGGGCAGCCGCUCAGCUCUCCUCGGGAACAGAGGAGUCUUCCUUCCCUUUCUUCCAGUCCAACCGAGAACUGUCUUUCUAUCCCAGGGUCCGGGCUCAACUGCAGACAGGGAGAGCAACGGCCUCAGCCGGCAGCGCUCGCUCAGCGUCGGUGGGCUGCAGCGCUUCGGCUUCUUUAAAAGUGGUAUCUGCGUGUGCGAGGGCGGCGCGGGAGGGUGGCGGCGCGCUCGCAGCCCGCGGGUCCCGCAGACACCGGGGCGAGUGCCCGCAGGUGCGGCGGUGCGCGCGGGCGGGGCGGGGCGGGGCGGGGCGGGGCGGGACGGGCGGCUGCUGCGGGAGGAAGCGCCCGGGAUGCUGGGGCUCGCACUCCGCUGGCUGGCUGGCUCGCUCGCGCUCGCGCACAGGCGCUCGCACACGGCCCCGCGCGCCGCCCGCGCUCACCUGCAUUUCCUUAACGAGCCACUUGAUGGCUGCGGCGGCGCGGCCGCGGCGGGCAGGACCGGCGGGGGGCGGCUGGCUGCCGCGGCGACAGAGACCCGAGCCCAGGCAGCCAGGCCUUGCCUCGAGCUCAGCGUGGAGAGCACCUUCUGGCUACCGGGCGCUGGACAGCUCCUGGCCAGGUGCGCACUUCUGCAGGUGUCCCUGCUGCCCUGCUCCAGGUUUCUUGGAGGGAAGCUGGCGGAAGCUUUUAACAAGAUGCAGCUGAGCGUGUCGAUAUCUUACAUCUUUUUACUGCUGUUUGGGUUGCUCAGCUACUUGAAGCUGCUCACUGCCUCAGACAAACACUGGCACCUUCCAGAGACAAUGUUCCCCGGCUUGAUUUACGCUCAUUGUUACAACUAUCCUUUGGUGCCCUCUGGAAGUACACAGGACAUUGCAAGUAAAGGAAGAGAGUGGGUGUUGAAGUGA
rnacentral:lncRNA from 1 species